rnacentral:rRNA from 1 species
UACGGGGGGAGCAAGCGUUGUUCGGAUUUACUGGGCGUAAAGGGCGCGUAGGCGGUCAGCACAAGUCAGUUGUGAAAUCUCCGGGCUUAACUCGGAAAGGUCAACUGAUACUGUGCGACUAGAGUGCAGAAGGGGCAACUGGAAUUCUCGGUGUAGCGGUGAAAUGCGUAGAUAUCAAGAGGAACACCUGCGGCGAAGGCGGGUUGCUGGGCUGACACUGACGCUGAUGCGCGAAAGCCAGGGGAGCGAACGGG